rnacentral:rRNA from 1 species
CAGUCGCCGCGGGAACACAGAGGGUGCAAGCGUUAAUUGGAAUUACUGGGCGUAAAGCGCGCGUAGGUGGUUUGUUAAGUUGGAUGUGAAAGCCCCGGGCUCAACCUGGGAACUGCAUCCAAAACUGGCAAGCUAGAGUACGGUAGAGGGUGGUGGAAUUUCCUGUGUAGCGGUGAAAUGCGUAGAUAUAGGAAGGAACACCAGUGGCGAAGGCGACCACCUGGACUGAUACUGACACUGAGGUGCGAAAGCGUGGGGAGCAAACAGGAUUAGAUACCCGCGUAGUCCCUGUCUCUUAUAC